rnacentral:misc_RNA from 1 species
CAGAGUUGAAAAACUCCCAAACCCCUUGUGAACAUACCCGUUACCGUUGCUUCGGCGGGCGGCCCCAGGGCGGGGCCACUACCUCUUUACUGAGGUGUCCGCCGGAGGUUCUACAAAUUCGUUAGUAUUAGAGUAGCCUCUCUGAGUUAUAUAUACUAAAUAAGUCA